CCUACGGGGAGCAGCAGUGAGGAAUAUUGGUCAAUGGACGAGAGUCUGAACCAGCCAAGUAGCGUGAAGGAUGACUGCCCUAUGGGUUGUAAACCUCUUUUAUAUGGGAUUAAAAUAUUCCACGCGUGGGAUUUUGUAUGUACCAGAGUAAAAAGCAUCGGCUAACUCCGUGCCAGCAGCCGCGGUAAGACGGAGGAUGCGAGCGUUAUCCGGAUUUAUUGGGUUUAAAGGGUGGGCAGGUGGAUGGUUAAGUCAGUGGGAAAAGUUGGGGGAUAAACGGAAGAUUGCAGUUGAAACUGGGAGUCUUGAGGAAGCGAGAGGUAUGCGGAAUGCGUGGUGUAGCGGGGAAAUGCUUAGAUAUCACGAAGAACUCCGAUUGAGAAGGCAGUAUACCGGCGCGCAACUGACGCUGAUGCUCGAAAGGGUGGGUAUCGAACAGGAUUAGAUACCCUGGUAGUC
rnacentral:rRNA from 1 species